GCUUGACUGUAUCUUGGAAUUGGGUUCGGGCUUUUCUUGCGCAGACUAGGUGGGAGGCUAUGAAGAUUUUCUUCUGGGAAAGUUGGAGCCAACAGUGAGAGACCACUCUGGAAAGGCUAGAAUCCUAAUGGUGAUCCUUGAAUCAGGACACUUGACAGUUUCAGGUGGGCAGUUUUUCUGGGCGGAAGCCUCAUAAAAGGUCAACUGAGGCGCGCAAAGGUCCCCUCAGUCUGGACGGAAAUCAGACAUUGAGUGUAAAGGCAAAAGGGGGCUUGACUGCAAGACCCACAAGUCGAGCAGGGGCGAAAGCUGGCCUUAGUGAUCCGACGGUGCCGUGUGGAAGGGCCGUCGCUCAACGAAUAAAAGUUA
rnacentral:rRNA from 1 species